rnacentral:ncRNA from 1 species
CGGUCACACCAGGGGUGCCCCGGACGGGGCUGAGAUGCGCGGGACCGCGCGAACCCUUCACAGCUGAUCCGGGUCAUGCCGGCGGAGCGAGGUUCCCAUGUUCAUCG